AAAAGGUGUCUUUUAAAAAAUGUUUUUCAGCCAAUGGUCUGUGAACCAUAUCUCAGAAACCCAUGGCAGGUAAAGAUGAAAAGCAAGCAUUUUGCCUUGGGCUUCAUUUUGCUAUUCAAAGGUCUACAUAUCUGCUGGAAAAUAUUUAGGGAUCUGUGAAUUGAAAACAGUUGAAAAUCACUGACCUGAAAAUAUAUUUCCUUGUUUUCAGACAACCAGUGAGACUGAGUUAGCAGAACAUUUCUCUAUGGUGAUGUUGAUGACUUUCCCUCCUACCCCCAUCCUACUAAUGGAUCACAUGAUUUGUAACUAGAAUAUAGCCUUUCAUUUCUUAUGGUCCUUCUGUAAUGAGAUCUUUCUCUGUUGAAACAUCAGCACAGAGCUUUCCUAGACUGCUUGUACAAUUAUCCAGUGCACUGCAAAUUUAAAUGCAAAUGAAAAGUUCAAUUAGUUUAAAAAAAAAUCAUGUUUUCCACUUAAUUUUAAAUGAUCAGUCUUGCCAAAGAGAUUUCCCAUUAUAAUUAAGAUGUCUUACAGUUCUGGGAUCAAGGUUUAUUUCUAUUUAUGCUCAAAAAACCCCCAGUUGAGUACUGUAAAUGGAACAGAUGCGUCUACACUAGAUGUCAUAAUUAUCCGUGACAGUGUAGCCUGCCUUUGGAAUGCAUGUGCUACAGGCACAGCAUUCGAGUAUUCCAGACCUCUGACCUUAAGCAGAUGCCAUUAUUUUAGUCAUAUGGACAAGCCAGAAGGAAGGUUGGGGUAGGGAGUGAAAUACCAAAGAUCUGAAGAAGGGUCUGUCAUAACCACAAGAAGAUAACAAUUCUUGAAAUCCUGAGAGCUGCAAAAACUAGCAAAAAGACCACACCAAAAAAAAACCUCACCAAAAAGAAGAUAGUAAAGCCUUCAGUGAAGACAGGAAUUUGUGCAAGAAAUAGAAGCCAGACUGCAAGAGGUUAAACAAUGAAAAUUGAGGGUUUGAAACAGUAUUUGUAAAAAUGCUUGUGGGAAGUGGGGUAUCUGGACAGUUCCC
rnacentral:lncRNA from 1 species